GUGCGCUUUUGAAAGGCAGCACGUGCUCUGGGAUUUAUUCUUUUUUUUUCUCAUUCUUCUCAACGCUAUUGCUGAUGUAAGGAAUUGGGCGUUUAAAAAAAAUCAUGGCAAAGGGGAAAUGCAGUUGAAGUGUUGGGGGAAGAGCUGAGAAACACACGAACGAGGUUGCGUGUUUUAUUUUGAAGCCACAUUUAUCGGCGGUUCGACGUGAUCACUUCCUCUUGUGGUUCUGAUUGCUAAGUGUAAGGUUUUGUAGCAACAGAUGAUGCCAUCCAAGCAACGUCAUUUUCAUGGACACCCCUGCUUAUUUCAGCAAGAUGAUGCCAAGACACAUUUUGCAUGUGUUACAACAGCAUGACUACAUAGUAAAAGACUCAGCUGAGAUGCCCAAGAAAGUGUCCUGACAGCGCCUUCUGAUGAGCUCACGCACUUGGGGUCAUCUGGAAGCCAUUUCUCCUCACAUUCUCUCCCUCGUCUCAUUUUAAUCUCUCGAUGCCGCGCCGCACCGCCUCCCCAACGCGAGCCUCCGCACCCCGCACCCCCCUGCUCCCCGCUCCCCUGGGUAGCCGGAGUUCAGUGGCCGAGGUCCGCGCACGCCAGGGCGGCGUGGCACGCAAGCUCAUCCCCGCUCGGCUCCCCAAGCACGCAAAAUCUCGGCGGCAUUAGAAAGAAAUAUCUCUAUACUGUACAUAAUACAUGGCUGCUGCGCUUGGUGCCACGCAGUGAAGUUCUAUCACGCAGCCUGCAUGCAGUGGAAGUGAAAAGUGUACAAAUAUCGUGAAUGUACCGGGAAAUAUUAGAAUUUAAUUCCUGCACUUUUUGACUUAACAAGAAAACCAGAAUUUAUGAUGUCUCUGUGAGUCUUUAACCGUUUUAGUGUGUGACGAAGCAUCUUAUAUUACCCUUCAUGUUUAAGAUUUCAGGUUAGCACAGCGCUUUUGUGGUUAGCAUGCUUGCUUCACAGUUCGGAGGUUCAGCGUUUGAGUCUUAGCUCCAGCCUUCCCGUGUGGAGUAGGUUAAGAUACUGAUGCUGAUAGUCACUCAUUGUCAUGCACAUCAUGUGAAUUGUUAUAGUUUUCCUUCAGAAAUCUCACUUCAGCAAGCAUCAAAGGAUAACAUAUUGUGGUUUUGGGGGAUUAAAGGACAUGUGAGUCACCUGUGCAUUACACUUUAUCGUGAAUUUUUAUUAAGAGAUUUGACAUAAAGUUAACUUCUUUGACACUUAAAUGACCACAAAAUAUGACUAAAGUUAGUAAGCAUUUUAUGAUGGCGACAGUUUUAGUUCCAUAGUUCCAAUGGAGGGGGGGGGGAGGGAUGGUUGUCAAAAUCAAAGUGUACUCGGAGUGACCUGAGAAUUUGUGGCGCUGAUAUGUUAGCUCUGUGAGGAGGUGUGUGUGCAUGUGUGCCACUUCCACAGGGUGAACUAUUGUAUCCAUGAGGUGAAACCCUUUCGUCAAAGAUAAGGGAACUCGUUUGAGGAGACGGCCAAAAGCCAGCUGGAACACGUCGGCAAGAUGACGUCUGCUGUCAUUCUAACAAAAGCCCGACUCGCCACUGGGGCAGCAGUUUGUGGUGCGGGGUGAAGGCUGGUAGAAAUAUGCUGUAAAAAUAUGUCUAUCAUUGUUAAGGCAUGGUAUAUUUUGAAGCAAACAUGUCAUCACUAAGACUCCUCGAAAGUGUUUUAAAUUAUGAAA